GAUCGUAAUGUAAAUAUCUCAUAUACAGAAUAUCUCUGAUAUGUGACCCUUGUGAAAGAGUUGUUUGACCCUCAAAGGAGUCAUGAACUACAGGCUGGUUAUCUUUCUGUUUCUGCCUCCCCCACUCAUUGGCUUGCAGACAGACAGAUGUUCAUGUGCCCGGCUUUUAUGUAGAUAGACAAUCCAAAUUGAAGUCCUAGACCACCUCUGUAGACCACGCUGGCCCUAAAAUCAGAGGUCCACCUGCCUCUGCAUCUCAAAUGCUGGGAUUGAAGGUGUGCACCACCCAGGGUUGUGACCCUGGGUCCCUUAUUUAUUCUGUAUUAAAAUUUUUGUAUUGACUUUUCGUAGUGAAUUUGUAUUAUAUUGUGGAAAGUUCACAUGUAUCUUUCUGUUCUCUCUGUUCCAUUGUUGGACAACUAUAGAGGGAAAGAGCUACAAAGGAUGUAGAGAUAAUUUAAGUCUAGCUCAGUUACACAGAUGAGUGAGGUACAUUCCUUAAAAUUGUGUGUUGAAUUGUGAUUGAAACAUGAAAGUCAAGCCUAGCAGUCAGUAGGUAGCCUGAGUCAGCAUUUGCUUUUCAUAAAUGUGCUUUCCAUAUUUUUUAUUAAGUCUUUUUUAAAAAGAUAGUUUUUAAAUCUGGUGUGUGUGUGUGUGUGUGUGUGUGUGUGUGUGUGUGUGUGUGUGUGUGUGUGUGUGUGGCUCUGCGUUGAUUAAAUUGUGACAUGACGCUUUAGUGGAGGUCAGAGGACAAUGGGGGAAGGGUCUGUUCUUAGGUUAUCAGGUUUGCCCUGUAAGCAUUUUUACUCAUUAAGCAACCAGCUGGCCUCUCCCUUUAUUGAAUGCCUAAGUCUCUGUAGUCAGUGACUAUGUAUGGUAUUUUUGUGGUGCUUCAUUUGGCUCUUAACAUUAGCUAUAGCAAUAUUUUCAGAUGGUGAGAAUAAAGGCAUUACUUUAUUUGGGGACUACUUCAUUUUUCCUGUCUUAAUGGGAAGAAGACAUUGACUACUUGCUCAAUGGGACUAUGUAAUGAACUGGGAAUGGGGUAGGUGAGGUGAAGAGAACUGACAGAAGGUUUCAGGUAGAGGCUUAGCACUUUGGAAUGAGUCCUGCUACCCACUGCAGUGUGAAAGGUCCAUCUGGUCCUCCCCUAAGUUAAAAAAAGGAAUGAAAUAUACAUAGGAUAUGAAAGCUUGUUUCACUUAUCUGCUUGAUCCAAAAAAGACUUGGAAAUGUUAGGUAUAGACUAGGUGGAGGAACAGAAGAACCGAAGAAGACUUGCUGGCAACUUGGCAACAUCUUUAGUAUGUAAUUUCUCCUUCCAUUUUUUCCACUAAAUUCUAGACCCUUGUACUUGACUCUAUUUCACCUCAUCUCAAAGAGAGCAGUGCAGAGGGUCACUAGGGUCCAGGAGUUCAAGACCACUGUGAGCACUAGUGAGACUCCUAUUUCAAAUAUUUGCAGAAAAAUAUAGACGAUCUAAGUCCAUUUAUAUAAAGUUUAAAAACAAGGGACUGGGUAGAUUUGAGCUGGCUUGAAAUUCUUUGAGGAGGAGGUUGCCUGUCUUUUGCCUCCUAAGUGGUGGGCUUAAAGGUGUGCACCACCAUGUCUGGCUGGCCCAAAUCAUAUAAAUCAGCUUUUUUGAGGGAUAAUUUUCAUAUAAUUAAGUACACAAAGUUUAGAGUAUAUAACUGAGUUUCAACAACUGUAUACACAGGUAUGAGUACCAUCCCAAACAAUGAUGGACCACUAAGAUUUCCCCAAAAUUCAAGGCCUGCACAAUCACAUAGUCCCUCCACAUAACACCUCUUGGCAGUGACUGAUCUGUGAAUUCUACCUCAUCAUAGAUGAGGGUUUACUGUUCAGAAGAUCAGUGCAGCCUUACUCUAUGUAUUCUUUCAUUUUUUCCAGACCAACUAUCAUGCAUGGGAUAGACUUUUUGUUGUUGUUUUGAGACAGUUUCUCCAUAUAGUCCCUACUGCCCCGGAACUUGCUCUGUAGACCAGGUUGGCCUCAAACUCCCAGAGAUCCACCUGCCUCUGCCUAUGUUAUGUGUAUCUAUGCCUGUGCUUGAAUGCACUAGUUGAUAUGUCCACAAAUUCCAGAUCUUUAUCCUUGCCUCCUUCAUUGGGCCAUCUUGACAGCCAUUGGUUGGAUUUUUAUAUCUUGUUUUUUUGUUGAUUUAUAGGUUUUAUGUAGUAAUCAAUGACUUGUUAGCAUUUAUACUGCUUGUUUUCUGAGCCUCCUAGAAUGAUGGUUUGGAAUGUGACAAGUUCUUAGUCAUUAAAUUUUCAAUGUGUUUAUGUUUUAUUUUAAUAUAUAUCUACACACACACACACACACACACACACACACAUACACACAACAGUUUUUCUGUGUAGCUCUGGUUGUGUAGAUCAGAUUGGCCUGGUACUCAGACAUCUACCCACAUUUGCCUUUCAAGUGCUGGAUUAAAGGCCACCACUGCUCUGAUCAAAUGGUUUUCUUAUCCAGUUAUUACCAAGCUAAUGAGUUGGUUAGAGGCAUUCUUGAGCUUUGUUACUUUUAGUUUUUCCUUAGAAUUCUACAUCUCUCUGCUUACCUUGUUCUUCUUUCUUGAAGUUCUUAAUUUUCACAAAUGUCUUAACUUUCCUACUAUCUCUGCUGUAUCUGUGUCUGGUUCCAAGGCUGGUGGGACUUACAGACUGCUUUGGAAAUUUCCAUUUCCUUAUCCCCUUCAAGAUCUUGUUUAGCAGCAGCUCAGGACAUCGUGGAACUCCAGAUCCUCCUGGCUCAGCCUCUUUAGUGAGUGUUGGGAUUAUAUCAUAGGUGUGUGCCACCGUGCCAUGAUAAAAGGAACUUACUCUCUGAGCCUCACUUUGAGGAGUCUGCAAAGAGUUGUUGCUCUUUCAGUUUUCAGCUUUUAACUUGUUUGGUCAGAUUCAUGAUUUCCAAGCUCCUCACAGGCCGAACUGGCAACCUAUUUAUUCUUUAAAAACCUCACUAUGCAUUUCCUUUCCAUUUUCAUAUUUUGUUGUUUGUUUCUGUUUUGUUUUUUGUUCUGCUUCUCACCCUUUGUUUUCAGAGGUUCAUUGCUUUUGAGAUUCUUUGCCAGUAAACUCACCUUAAAGAUGCUUGAGUAUGUAAUAUUCUACCAGGAUAUUCUUAAGUGAUACAGAAAUUAUAAGUGACAAAUGUGACUUUGCAGUAAUAGAGUGGUUGUCUGUAUGAAUUUAGAUCUUGGAAGUGACUAGUUGAACUUUGUCAGGUUUGUUUUUAUGACAGACCAGAACAAGUAUUUAGUUUUAAUUAUCUGUAGAUAUUAAUUUAAGGAUUAGCUGGGCCUUGGUGGUCAUGCCUUUAAUUCCA
rnacentral:sRNA from 1 species